UACAAAGCCGAAGGGUUCUCCGACGUACGAUGGAUGAAUUGAGUGUCAUAAAAGCUUGGAUGCGAGCAUCCAGGAGGAGAAUUUCGAUCGAAGUACAGAUUUUUCUUGAAUUCGAGAACAAUGAUGUUAAUACCAGCUGAUAAAAGAGGAAUAGUGUAAGUGCCCGAUGGGUACGAACGUCAUCUUGUGACUGCAUCACCUUUGUUUGGCUAAAGUACAAGAGAACUGCAGCACCAAAGACUACAUGUACAUCGAUUUGAAUAAUCUGUAUCCUCAAAAGGCAAAUCAAAUACAGAAAAUGCAUAUAAUUUGGAAAAGAGACCACCAAUCCACUGAGGGGUAUCACAUGAAAGCAAUGGUAUUACAGAAUAUUGUAAAGCUGGACGA